rnacentral:rRNA from 1 species
UACGGGGGGGAGCAAGCGUUUGUCCGGAUUUACUGGGCGUAAAGCGCGCGUAGGCGGAGCGUUCAGCGUGGCCUGAAAGCCCCCCGGCUCAACCGGGGGAAGGUGGCUGCGUACUGGCGCUCUUGAGGACGGCAGAGGAGUGCGGAAUUCCUGGUGUAGCGGUGAAAUGCGUAGAGAUGUGGAGGAACACCGAUGGCGAAGGCAGCCCCCCUGGGUCAAAAACUGACGCUCAUGCACGAAAGCGUGGGGGAGCAAACAGG